rnacentral:rRNA from 1 species
GACGAACGCUGGCGGCGUGCUUAACACAUGCAAGUCGAACGGUGAAGGGACCAGCUUGCUGGUUCUGGAUGAGUGGCGAACGGGUGAGUAACACGUGAGUAACCUGCCCCCUUCUUCUGGAUAACCGCAUGAAAGUGUGGCUAAUACGGGAUAUUCUGGGUCUGUCGCAUGGCGGGCCCGGGAAAGAUAUUGCUUCGGUGGGGGAUGGGCUCGCGGCCUAUCAGCUUGUUGGUGGGGUGAUGGCCUACCAAGGCGGUGACGGGUAGCCGGCCUGAGAGGGUGGACGGUCACACUGGGACUGAGACACGGCCCAGACUCCUACGGGAGGCAGCAGUGGGGAAUAUUGCACAAGGGGCGCAAGCCUGAUGCAGCGACGCCGCGUGAGGGAUGGAGGCCUUCGGGUUGUAAACCUCUUUCGCCAGUGAAGCAGGCCUGCUCCUUGUGGGUGGGUUGACGGUAGCUGGAGAAGAAGCGCCGGCUAACUACGUG